rnacentral:tmRNA from 2 species
GGGGGCGUAACGGCUUCGACGUGGGAGCUGAAGCAAAAGGAGCAUGCCGGGGAGAAUGAGGACCUCGAUAAAAACAUUCACUUUUUACUAUCUAACGAUAGUUUACAAUUAGCAGCUUAGUCUGCUUUUCGGUGUUUAGGUCAGUCGCCGAUGUUGGCUUAAAAUACCGUCACUGAUGUCGGAUCGUCAUUCAGGGGUUUCUGCAGACUGAAUGAUUAAGAGUUUUUGUGGGAAUGUCUCGAGAAAUUUUGUUUAUGGAAGCUCGCGGGAUAAAAUAAAAACAUAAACUAAGCAUGUAGCGCCUUUCUGUGGAUCUCUUGCGGACGGGGGUUCAACUCCCCCCGCCUCCACCA